CAUCACAUUUAAUCACCAUCCAGAUAUGUGGGAUAAUUGUUUGCUGCGUGCUAGAGCUCAUAGUAUACUUUUUCUAUAGACUGGCAGGUUGAAAUAAUUCCCUUACUGGCUUUUGGCUGAGGUUGCCCAUUGCAGUCAGUCAGCUCGGCUUCCCCUGCAUAUCCAUUGCCUGCUUGACUGAUUGGAGGUCAGUACUGAAUAAUACGUCCUCCAAUAUCAUCACUGCUCUCGAAGCACACAGGCUCCAGCCCUUCGUCUAAACAGCAUUUGAUGGAGGUCAGACCAGAGCUGCCUGCUCCAAUCACAGCCACACGCUUAGCCAUGAUAGCUCUCCCGACUGCCUGCUAAAAUGCCGGAGUUCAGAUUGCAUGACGUCAACUGCAGGAGCUCUAUAAAGAUCCUCCAAUAUCAUCACUGCUCUCGAAGCACACAGGCUCCAGCCCUUCGUCUAAACAGCAUUUGAUGGAGGUCAGACCAGAGCUGCCUGCUCCAAUCACAGCCACACGCUUAGCCAUGAUAUCUCUCCCGACUGCCUGCUAAAAUGCCAGAGUUCAGAUUGCAUGACGUCAACUGCAGGAGCUCUAUAAAGAUCCUCCAAUAUCAUCACUGCUCUCGAAGCACACAGGCUCCAGCCCUUCGUCUAAACAGCAUUUGAUGGAGGUCAGACCAGAGCUGCCUGCUCCAA